rnacentral:rRNA from 1 species
GGGUGACACUGCCUAGGGUCUGCCUGGUAGUGGGGGACAACGUUUCGAAAGGAACGCUAAUACCGCAUACGUCCUACGGGAGAAAGUGGGGGAUCUUCGGACCUCACGCUAUCAGAUGAGCCUAGGUCGGAUUAGCUAGUUGGUGAGGUAAAGGCUCACCAAGGCGACGAUCCGUAACUGGUCUGAGAGGAUGAUCAGUCACACUGGAACUGAGACACGGUCCAGACUCCUACGGGAGGCAGCAGUGGGGAAUAUUGGACAAUGGGCGAAAGCCUGAUCCAGCCAUGCCGCGUGUGUGAAGAAGGUCUUCGGAUUGUAAAGCACUUUAAGUUGGGAGGAAGGGCAGUAAGUUAAUACCUUGCUGUUUUGACGUUACCAACAGAAUAAGCACCGGCUAACUUCGUGCCAGCAGCCGCGGUAGAUACGGAGGGUGCAAGCGCUAAUCGGAAUUACUGGGCGUAAAGCGCGCGUAGGUGGUUCGUUAAGUUGGAUGUGAAAGCCCCGGGCUCAACCUGGGAACUGCAUCCAAAACUGGCGAGCUAGAGUAUGGCAGAGGGUGGUGGAAUUUCCUGUGUAGCGGUGAAAUGCGUAGAUAUAGGAAGGAACACCAGUGGCGAAGGCGACCACCUGGGCUAAUACUGACACUGAGUGCGAAGCGUGGGGAGCAACAGGAUUAGAUACCUGGUAGUUCCACGCCGUAAACGAUGUCGACUAGGCGGUGGAUCCUGAGAUCUUAGUGGCGCAGCUAACGCA